GCCGCAGUAUUUUGACUGUGCAAAGGUAGCAUAAUCAUUAGUUUUUUCAUUGAAAGCUGGAAUGAAGGGUCGGAUGAGAAAGUUUCUGUCUCAGUAUUAUUUACCUUGAAUUUUAUUUUUAAGUUAAAAAGCUUAAAUUAUAUAAAAAGACGAGAAGACCCUAUAGAGUUUAAUAGAUUUAUAUUACAGUUAUUAAUAGAUACUAAUUUAAUUGUUUUAUAAUUUAUUUGGUUGGGGUGACUUAAGAAUUGAUUAAACUUCUUAAAUUUUUAACAUUGAUUAAUGAAUAGAUGAUCCUGAUUAUUUGGAUUACAAGAAUAAAUUACCUUAGGGAUAACAGCGUAAUCCUUUUAGAGAGUUCUUAUCGAUAAAAGGGAUUGCGACCUCGAUGUUGGAUUAAAAUUAAAUUCUGGUGCAAAAGCUAGGGAUUUA
rnacentral:rRNA from 1 species